GCGCUUGCUGGUGUCCACCGGGGCCGUGAUGUUCGAGGUCGUGAUCCAGCCGCCUAUACAGUUUCCAUGUUCCGGGUGCGCGUUCCGUGACCGUUUCGGUGUUCCGACGAUGAGUAGUGGGUUGUUGUUUGAACUGCUGCUGCUGGAUGCCGUGCAAUAGGAGACGACCCGGGACCUGUACCAAGUCCUGAACGACCAGAGCCCCCCUUCGUCGGUGAUGAAUUUGGCAGCAGCAGCAUCCAGCGGGAGCAGAUUCUCCACUUACCUUCGGGGCUUUCGAUUGUCCGCGAGGUGGCAUUUUUGAACUGAUGGCCACCGACGCUCCACUUGAUCUCGGCUGGCGGGU